CCAGACAAAGGACAAUGGGCACUUUUGUAUGGGGAGUGUCCCAUGGAUGUAUACUGUUGAGACAUAUGUCGUUUUAAAGCUCUUAAUCGUAGUAUUAUUUUAUUGUAUGGCACCAACCUUGGACCACUUGCAGGGACCGAGCUAUAUAAAAAAAGAAGUUGCGCAUAGAAGCAGUUAUAUUUCCUUAUACGCGGGAUAUAAAAAGUUUUAGCGUAUUUUAUUCGAAAGAAUAUAAAAAAUGCUUUAUGUUUUUUGUAUCAACACCAAUGAUAAAGUAUUUAAAGGGACACAAUGUACAGUUUUAAAAAAUCGUCAUUCUAAAAAUUACUUGAUACACAGCGAAAUAAGAGUGUAUACAAAUGCCAUGUAUAUCAUAUGAAAAGUAUUUUUAUAAGCUAUUUUUCGUAUAGUAUAACUGGGGUCAAAUCGUUGCAGGGACCAAAAUAAAACCAUUUAAUGAGUUAAUUAAUUGUAGUUAAUUACGCCUUAACUUUUCUACUCAACGCCAGAUGUCGCUCUAAAGCAAAAUUCUACUUGACGUAAAACAUUUAUACAUAGCGGUAAUCUCGUCAGUCUUACUCCAUCAUUUUAAAAAGUAUAGACUAGUUUAUGGUUUUCUAAAGUUAUGUCAAGAUGACUCUGAAUGUAAUAUUGUCAACAAUAAUUGUCAAAACACGCAAUUUAAAAUAUUCAACAUUGUAAUUACAAAAUAGUAUAUUUCUAAUACGCUAUAAUUUUCUCCAAUCGAAAGGCACUCCAUUCCAUUGAUCUCAGAGAGUAUGCUCCUUGAUGAUCUUCACUAUUCAUGGGCAUUUUUAAGUUAUUCAUCGGACACUGAGGCCAUUGAAGUUUUAAGCUGGCGGCAUCAAAAUGGAGUACCUAGAAACCAUACGGCAAUAAUGAGGAUGCAUCGACAUAAGAAGAAUCGAACAUGGGCAAGAUAAAGUUCAAGAAAAAAGCAAAUAUAAUGUGUACUUGUGUGUAGUCAAAGAAAGUUGAAAAAUAAAGCAUAAUUAAUGGCCAUAGAAUACAGAACCAAUACACGAACAUUAAGACUAUUAAAAAUAGACAUAUAGGUUGAUCGUACUACUCGUACUAAUGUAUUUCUUUUGUUCAAUUAUAUUAUUGCAUUAAAGUUAGAUU